AACGAACGCUGGCGGCAUGCCUAACACAUGCAAGUCGAACGAAGGCUUCGGCCUUAGUGGCGCACGGGUGCGUAACGCGUGGGAAUCUGCCCUUUGGUUCGGAAUAACAGCUGGAAACGGCUGCUAAUACCGGAUGAUGACGAAAGUCCAAAGAUUUAUCGCCAGAGGAUGAGCCCGCGUUGGAUUAGGUAGUUGGUGGGGUAAAGGCCUACCAAGCCGACGAUCCAUAGCUGGUCUGGGAGGAGGAUCAGCCACACUGGGACUGAGACACGGCCCAGACUCCUACGGGAGGCAGCAGUGGGGAAUAUUGGACGAUGGGCGCAAGCCUGAUCCAGCAGUGCCGCGUGAGUGAUGAAGGCGCUAGGGUUGUAAAGCUCUUUUACCCGGGAAGAUAAUGACUGUACCGGGAGAAUAAGCCCCGGCUAACUCCGUG
rnacentral:rRNA from 1 species